UCCUGGCAACAGGGUUGGCACGGCAAACCCCGGCCGGAGCAAGGCCAAGUAGGCGGCGAGAGCGCCCAACUCGACAAAGACGCCGCGGGUAGGCUGCUGGAGGGCGUGAGCGAUCACGCUCCAAGAGAAAUGACCGUUACGAGGUCCCGCGAGGGAUCCCGACAGAACCCGGCUUACAGGCCAGUGUCCGUC
rnacentral:RNase_P_RNA from 1 species